CUGAGUUGUGUUAGUCUACGAGUUCUGCUGUAUAGUGGUAUUGUACGUCUGGAGUACGUACUAUGCAAGUAGAGAAUAUAUUACAGUAUGUAUUGCAGUUUUGGUGUAUCGGUUGCUAGAAAAUUGCACUGCGCAAGCGCACAAAAACAGCAAUGCGCACUCGUGCGUUUGCUCUCUUUGCGCAAGAAUGUGGUCACCAAUUACAGCAUCGUAUCAUGAAAACGUAAUUCACUACAAAAAUCCGAGGAAUGUUGGAAGCUUUGACAAAGAUGAUAAGAAUGUGGGAACGAGUUUGGUCAGAGCUCCGGCGUGUGGAGACGUCGUGAAACUGCAGUGAUUGCAGUAUGUAAAAUCUCACUUCAUUGAAUCAAUUGAUGUUACGACGUUGUGCUCUGGGCACCGAGGUUGCGAGAAGUGUUGCGCAUGCGGUAAUGGCAAGCUCUGACAUGGCAGAACAAAAGAAAGCAAAACUGAUAUCUGCAGGCGAGGAGUAAGGGAACACUUGUGUGUGACAUGUGCGUUAUCAUUUUCUUUGUAUUCUAGAAUCGGGCAACCGACCGUCGUUUAUUAUUUUGGUCUUACAUUUCUAAAAGUCGAGCUGUCUUGUGCUGUCCAAGCUAUCGUUGGACGACAACUAGUACCGCCGGCGGCUACGCGGCCAAAAGAUGAGCUGAAGUGGAAGGAAUUCCUGGCUUCUGUGGACGAUGACCUGAAAUUAUAUUCAAUGCUGUGUGUGGCUGUGAAAAAAAGUGAAAAAAGAGAGUGUGCUACAAUUUAAAUGUGUUCCUAUGCCUGGGGACAGGAAGAUGUUUAUAUAUAUACAUGAUAAAACCAUGUCAUUCUUAGAUGUAGAUAAAACCAAACUUUGGCAGGACUGUCUAUCCAAGAAUUAGUAUAGGAAGGAGCAAGUCAGUGAAAUGUACAAGGAAGAUGAUAGAUGUACUACGUUGAUCCCAUAUUUCAGAUUAAAUCCAUCCAUUCCUCAAAAUCAUCCUUCUUGUUUUCCAAUGUUGGUCUGAAACAACGUAUGGCAGCAGACGAUCUUAUGGAAGAGGGCUGGACACAUAGACUGGAGUGGUGUUUAUAUAAGCUGUAUGACCCAAAAAUUGCAUUUGCCAUGUGCUUUGGGGAUGAUUGGAUGCGAGUGGGUACGUGGGACCUUGACAAAGAAUUUUGCUGGCAUCCUUUUUUGGGUACACCAGAUAUGCUUGCUGUAAAGACACCAGAAACUACACCUGUCGUGGUGGCUAAAACAGGAGACCUCAUUGAAUGCAAAGAAUCAAACCCUGGUGAUGGAGGACAGCUAUAUGCAGCCAUUUUGUUGACUGCUGGUACUGCAAUUUUAAGGCGUUUGGUGAACCAGCUGGAUGUGCCAGAAAAACAGUGACAGUGAGGGCCUUCUAAUAAAUAGGCAAUAUGACUGCAGCAUCUGCCAGCUAGAAGUCAAGCCGUUUGGCAAAGGCUAUCCCAAUUGGAGUCAUUGUGUCAUCGCUAAUGGGGCACAGAAGGAAGUGAACUUACUAUGGACGUUGAACAAGCCAUGGGAACUUCCAACUGAAGCUGAUCGUGCCUGACUCCUGGUAACACCGUGUCAGUUGUGUUGCAAGUUACAAAGGUAAUGCAUGCAUUACCUUUGUAUAGACACGGCCUACUUUGACAGAAAAUGAUAGCUACAGAUAGUCUAUUAUCAAACACUUUCGCCUGUGAUAAUUUUGAGCACUCACUAAAGUUGUUCUGUAAGCAUUAGGUGAGAACUUUAGCUCAAAAGUUGGUUGAGAACCCCAUUGUCUAUCUGUCCAAAUACAAGCCCCAAUGAAAUUCAAGUCUCGGAGCUUUAAUUCAAACUGCUUUGCACCUUAGUCUGAGUGUUGUUCUUAAUAAAAGACCCAGACUGAAUAGAAGAUCCACUCCGUCUUAGAGUAGGACAUAAACCGAGUGGGUGAAGUCUUGUGCCAAGCAAUACCGACCCUUCUUUUUAUCCGAGAGGUCACACCUGAGUUCUGCAAGCUCCGGAUGUUACGGGUGGCUUUACUGUAAGCGAGAUGUUGAAUAGAGUUGGACAGUGUGGGAGAGUGAACUGCAAGGAAGAAGCCAACAGUAUUUGUAGCAUUACAUUUCUCUGCAGGCUAUGUUGUUACUAAAUUUAUUUUAGUAAAUAUAAGUGGAUAAAUAUUUUAUGCUUACGAGUGAUAUCUCUGUGGACGGACAGACUUACCAAGGGACAGAUGGACAAUUGGAAUGCAGUGCAUACCCUCAUUGCUAUUGCUGGUGUUAAUUAGUUAGUUAUAAGAAACAUUAUUAGAUAAGGACAUUGAGGGAUAUUGUUUGUAUUGUACUAGAGUGGUAUUGUCAAUUAUAAUGGUGAAGUGAUGAUGUUGCUAGUUGGUGGUGUGACUGGGACUGUAUUUAGUGAAAGCAUACAUUGAUAAUGAUUUUGUUUGAAGUCAUGAUUAUGAUGUUGGAAUUCAU